rnacentral:rRNA from 1 species
UGGAUCCAGACUUUGAUUAUGGCUCAGGAUGAACGCUAGCUACAGGCUUAACACAUGCAAGUCGAGGGGAAACGAUAUUGGAAGCUUGCUUCCGAUAGGCGUCGACCGGCGCACGGGUGAGUAACGCGUAUCCAACCUGCCCAUCACUUGGGGAUAACCUUGCGAAAGUAAGACUAAUACCCAAUGAUAUCUCAAGAAGACAUCUGAAUGAGAUUAAAGAUUUAUCGGUGAUGGAUGGGGAUGCGUCAGAUUAGCUUGUUGGCGGGGUAACGGCCCACCAAGGCGACGAUCAGUAGGGGUUCUGAGAGGAAGGUCCCCCACAUUGGAACUGAGACACGGUCCAAACUCCUACGGGAGGCAGCAGUGAGGAAUAUUGGUCAAUGGGCGAGAGCCUGAACCAGCCAAGUAGCGUGCAGGAUGACGGCCCUAUGGGUUGUAAACUGCUUUUAUAAGGGAAUAAAGUGAGCCUCGUGAGGCUUUUUGCAUGUACCUUAUGAAUAAGGACCGGCUAAUUCCGUGCCAGCAGCCGCGGUAAUACGGAAGGUCCGGGCGUUAUCCGGAUUUAUUGGGUUUAAAGGGAGCGUAGGCCGGAGAUUAAGCGUGUUGUGAAAUGUAGAUGCUCAACAUCUGCACUGCAGCGCGAACUGGUUUCCUUGAGUACGCACAAAGUGGGCGGAAUUCGUGGUGUAGCGGUGAAAUGCUUAGAUAUCACGA